AUUGAACGCUGGCGGCAGGCCUAACACAUGCAAGUCGAACGAGUGGCGGACGGGUGAGUCAUGUCUGGGAAACUGCCUGAUGGAGGGGGAUAACUACUGGAAACGGUAGCUAAUACCGCAUACCCUCAGAUGUGCCCAGAUGGGAUUAGCUUGGUGGUGGGGUAACGGCUCACCAAGGAGACGAUCCCUAGCUGGUCUGAGAGGAUGACCAGCCAAGCUGGAACGUGGACACGGUCCAGACGCCUACGGGAGGCAGCAGUGGGUAAGAUUGCACAAGGGGGGGAAGCAUGAUGCAGACAUGCCGCGUGUAUGAAGAAGGCCUUCGGGUUGUAAAGUACUUGCAGCGGGGAGGCGUUACCCGCAGAAGAAGCACCGGCUAACUCCGUGCCAGCAGCCGCGGUAAUAC
rnacentral:rRNA from 1 species